rnacentral:rRNA from 1 species
CAGUAGCCGCGGGAAUACGGAGGGAGCUAGCGUUGUUCGGAAUUACUGGGCGUAAAGGGAGCGUAGGCGGACAUUUAAGUCAGGGGUGAAAUCCCAGAGCUCAACUCUGGAACUGCCUUUGAUACUGGGUGUCUUGAGUGUGAUAGAGGUAUGUGGAACUCCGAGUGUAGAGGUGAAAUUCGUAGAUAUUCGGAAGAACACCAGUGGCGAAGGCGACUGACUGGACAAGUAUUGACGCUGAGGUGCGAAAGCGUGGGGAGCAAACAGGAUUAGAUACCCCAGUAGUCCCUGUCUCUUAUAC